UUAAAGAGUGCGUAAUAGCUCACUGGUCGAGUGACUCUGCGCCGAAAAUGUACCGGGGCUAAACGUAUCACCGAAGCUGUGGAUUGACAUCUUAGAUGUCAGUGGUAGGAGAGCGUUCUAAGUGCAGUGAAGUCAGACCGUAAGGACUGGUGGAGCGCUUAGAAGUGAGAAUGCCGGUAUGAGUAGCGAAAGACAAGUGAGAAUCUUGUCCACCGAAUGCC
rnacentral:rRNA from 1 species